UUGGAGGGCAAGUCUGGUGCCAGCAGCCGCGGUAAUUCCAGCUCCAAUAGCGUAUAUUAAAGUUGUUGCAGUUAAAAAGCUCGUAGUUGAAACUUGGGCCUGGCUGGCGGGUCCGCCUCACCGCGUGCACUCGUCCGGCCGGGCCUUCCUUCUGAAGAACCUCAUGCCCUUCACUGGGCGUGCUGGGGAAUCAGGACUUUUACUUUGAAAAAAUUAGAGUGUUCAAAGCAGGCCUUUGCUCGAAUACGUUAGCAUGGAAUAAUAAAAUAGGGCGUGCGUUUCUAUUUUGUUGGUUUCUAGAGACGCCGCAAUGAUUAACAGGAACAGUCGGGGGCAUCAGUAUUCAGUUGUCAGAGGUGAAAUUCUUGGAUUUACUGAAGACUAGCUACUGCGAAAGCAUUUGCCAAGGAUGUUUUCAUUAACCAGUGAACGAAAGUUGGGGGAUCGAAGACGAUCAGAUACCGUCGUAGUCUUAACCGUAAACUAUGCCGACUAGGGAUCGGGCGAUGUUCUUUUUCUGACUCGCUCGGCACCUUACGGGAAACCAAAGUGUUUGGGUUC
rnacentral:rRNA from 1 species